GCAUCAAUGGGGUAGUGGUAACCUGGGUCGUUGCCAUCGUCAGACUCGAAAUGCGAGUUCGACCCGCCGGGGGUUCGAUUCCCUCUUGAUGCA